ensembl:misc_RNA Y_RNA Y RNA
GGCUAGUCCAAAGGUAGCAAGCAAUCUGAAUUGAUUGUUCAGAGUCAGUUACAGAUCAAACUCCUAGUUCUACUCUACCCCCCUUCUCACUAUUGCAAUUAACUAGUCUUAA